rnacentral:tRNA from 1 species
AGAACUAUAGCUUAAAUGGAUAAAGCAUGUGCCUGAUAAGCGCAAGAUCGUUAGUUCAACUCUAACUAGUUCUA